AUUGAACGCUGGCGGCAUGCUUUACACAUGCAAGUCGAACGGCAGCACGGGUGCUUGCACCUGGUGGCGAGUGGCGAACGGGUGAGUAAUGCAUCGGAACGUGCCCAUGAGUGGGGGAUAGCCCGGCGAAAGCCGGAUUAAUACCGCAUACGCCCUUAGGGGGAAAGGACGGGGAGUCUUCGGACCUCGCGCUAUUGGAGCGGCCGAUGUCGGAUUAGCUAGUAGGUGAGGUAAAGGCUCACCUAGGCGACGAUCCGUAGCUGGUCUGAGAGGAUGAUCAGCCACACUGGGACUGAGACACGGCCCAGACUCCUACGGGAGGCAGCAGUGGGGAAGUUUUGGUAC
rnacentral:rRNA from 1 species